UACGUAGGGGGCAAGCGUUGUCCGGAAUUAUUGGGCGUAAAGAGCGUGUAGGCGGUCCGGUAAGUCAGCUGUGAAAGUCAAGGGCUCAACCCUUGAAAGCCGGUUGAUUCUGUCGGGCUAGAGUCCGGAAGAGGCGAGUGGAAUUCCCGGUGUAGCGGUGAAAUGCGCAGAUAUCGGGAGGAACACCAAUGGCGAAGGCAGCUCGCUGGGACGGUACUGACGCUGAGACGCGAAAGCGUGGGGAGCAAACAGG
rnacentral:rRNA from 1 species